rnacentral:rRNA from 1 species
GCGGCAGGCCUAACACAUGCAAGUCGAGCGGAAACGAGUUAUCUGAACCUUCGGGGAACGAUAACGGCGUCGAGCGGCGGACGGGUGAGUAAUGCCUAGGAAAUUGCCCUGAUGUGGGGGAUAACCAUUGGAAACGAUGGCUAAUACCGCAUGAUGCCUACGGGCCAAAGAGGGGGACCUUCGGGCCUCUCGCGUCAGGAUAUGCCUAGGUGGGAUUAGCUAGUUGGUGAGGUAAGGGCUCACCAAGGCGACGAUCCCUAGCUGGUCUGAGAGGAUGAUCAGCCACACUGGAACUGAGACACGGUCCAGACUCCUACGGGAGGCAGCAGUGGGGAAUAUUGCACAAUGGGCGCAAGCCUGAUGCAGCCAUGCCGCGUGUGUGAAGAAGGCCUUCGGGUUGUAAAGCACUUUCAGUCGUGAGGAAGGUAGUGUAGUUAAUAGCUGCAUUAUUUGACGUUAGCGACAGAAGAAGCACCGGCUAACUCCGUGCCAGCAGCCGCGGUAAUACGGAGGGUGCGAGCGUUAAUCGGAAUUACUGGGCGUAAAGCGCAUGCAGGUGGUUUGUUAAGUCAGAUGUGAAAGCCCGGGGCUCAACCUCGGAAUAGCAUUUGAAACUGGCAGACUAGAGUACUGUAGAGGGGGGUAGAAUUUCAGGUGUAGCGGUGAAAUGCGUAGAGAUCUGAAGGAAUACCGGUGGCGAAGGCGGCCCCCUGGACAGAUACUGACACUCAGAUGCGAAAGCGUGGGGAGCAAACAGGAUUAGAUACCCUGGUAGUCCACGCCGUAAACGAUGUCUACUUGGAGGUUGUGGCCUUGAGCCGUGGCUUUCGGAGCUAACGCGUUAAGUAGACCGCCUGGGGAGUACGGUCGCAAGAUUAAAACUCAAAUGAAUUGACGGGGGCCCGCACAAGCGGUGGAGCAUGUGGUUUAAUUCGAUGCAACGCGAAGAACCUUACCUACUCUUGACAUCCAGAGAACUUUCCAGAGAUGGAUUGGUGCCUUCGGGAACUCUGAGACAGGUGCUGCAUGGCUGUCGUCAGCUCGUGUUGUGAAAUGUUGGGUUAAGUCCCGCAACGAGCGCAACCCUUAUCCUUGUUUGCCAGCGAGUAAUGUCGGGAACUCCAGGGAGACUGCCGGUGAUAAACCGGAGGAAGGUGGGGACGACGUCAAGUCAUCAUGGCCCUUACGAGUAGGGCUACACACGUGCUACAAUGGCGCAUACAGAGGGCGGCCAACUUGCGAAAGUGAGCGAAUCCCAAAAAGUGCGUCGUAGUCCGGAUUGGAGUCUGCAACUCGACUCCAUGAAGUCGGAAUCGCUAGUAAUCGUGGAUCAGAAUGCCACGGUGAAUACGUUCCCGGGCCUUGUACACACCGCCCGUCACACCAUGGGAGUGGGCUGCAAAAGAAGUAGGUAGUUUAACCUUCGGGGGGACGCUUACCACUUUGUGGUU